UACGUAGGGGGCGAGCGUUAUCCGGAUUUAUUGGGCGUAAAGCGUGUGUAGGUGGUUCGUAAGGUCAGGCGUAAAAGAUCACAGCUUAACUGUGUAGGGCGUUUGAAACCGACGGACUUGAAUACGGUAGAGGCAGGUGGAAUUCCAUGUGUAGCGGUGGAAUGCGUAGAUAUAUGGAGGAACACCAAUGGCGAAGGCAACCUGCUGGGCCGGAAUUGACACUGAGACACGAAAGCGUGGGGAGCAAACAGG
rnacentral:rRNA from 1 species